UGUGGCUGCGGUAGAGGGUGGGGACUCUGGAAGCGGCGCAGGAAGCGGAGUGGGGACUCAGCAAGGGCUCCCAGCCGGCCCAGCGGUACCCUUGAUCUGCCGCAGACCCGUUUUAAUGAAGUGUGUCCUGCCUGAACACACCCGGCAGGGCCUGCUUCCCCUUAGCUGCGCCGCUCGACCGCAGAGGCAGCCUGAAUCAGGGCCAGACGCUGAGCUCAGGGCAUCUGCCAGCAUAGCGGGAGUAUUCAAAGGGAGGAUUAAUAGCGCCUACUGGCUGUCUUUUAACAAACUAUUUAAAUGAUGAACCAAAAAAGACUCCCAGGACAUACUGGAUACCCUAAGCCCCAGGCUGGCUACCCAGUCCCACCAACUGACUGCCCAGUCCCACUGGCUGGCUACCCAGUCCCACCGCCUGGCUAUUCGCAUGCUGGCCCAGCUGGCUUCGCUGUUCAGAAUCAGCCUGUAUAUAAUCGGGCAGGUGGACCUGCAGGAGUACCAUGGAUGCCAGCACCACCACGUCCAUUAAACUGUCCACUUGGAUUGGAAUAUUUAAGUCAGCUUGAUCUGAUACUGAUUCAUCAGCAAAUUGAGCUUACAGAAGUCCUAUUCGGUUUUGAAAGCAAUAACACGUAUGAAAUCAAGAACAAGUUUGGACAGAGGAUUUACAUUGCAGCAGAAGAUACUAAUUUUUGUAACCGAAAUUGCUGUGGGCCAAAUAGACCUUUUACCUUGAACAUUCUGGAUAAUAUGUGUCGAGAAGUCAUAACUCUGGAGAGACCACUAAGAUGUUCCAGCUGUUAUUGUCCCUGCUGCCUUCAGGAGAUAGAAAUCCAAGCUCCUCCUGGUGUACCAGUAGGUUAUGUUACUCAGAUCUGGCAUCCAUAUCUGCCAAAGUUUGCAGUUCAAAAUGAGAAAAGGGAGGAUGUACUAAAAAUUACUGGUCCGUGUUUUGUGUGCACCUGUGCUGGAGAUAUCGAUUUUAAGAUUAAAUCUCUAGAUGAACAAAUUGUGGUUGGCCAGAUUUCUAAGAAGUGGACUGGGAUUUUCAGAGAGGCAUUUACAGAUGCUGACAACUUUGCAAUACAAUUCCCUAGAGACCUUGAUAUUAAAAUGAAAGCAGUGAUGCUUGGUGCUUGUUUUCUUGUUGACUACAUGUUUUUUGAAAGCACUAUAGGCAAAGGUCAGAAUAUAGGAGUGUGGUAGUGAAUUAAUGGAAGAUUUACUUGAGAGAGGAGAUGAACAACCCACAAUUUACCUCAUGCAAAGGAAAAGUGUGCUUAGGAAAUAAGGGAAUGGAGGAAGAACCCCCUUUCAUCUUCAGCAGAAUGCCUCCAAUAGCCACUCUCCUCGUGGAUUCUGGAUCUCUGGUUAAGCAAAGUAAAACUACAACUGAUCUAAACAGUUCCUUCCUUCUUCAGCUGUGCAAGGAAGAUUUGAGCAGAAAUCCGUAUGCUCUGUGCAGAAUCCAUUUAAGUUCAAAUACUAGACAAAUGUCUUCUCAUUAAAUCUUUUUUUACAAUAUGA